GUGCCUACUUCAGCAACACAUAUAUUACAUUGGAGUGAUGCAGAGAUUAGCAUGGCCCCUGUACAAGGACACACAAAUUCAUCAAGCAGCCCAUAUUAUU
rnacentral:snRNA from 1 species